rnacentral:rRNA from 2 species
GGUUAAGCGACUAAGCGUACACGGUGGAUGCCCUGGCAGUCAGAGGCGAUGAAGGACGUGCUAAUCUGCGAAAAGCGUCGGUAAGGUGAUAUGAACCGUUACAGCCGGCGAUGUCCGAAUGGGGAAACCCAGUGCAAUUCGUUGCACUAUCGUUAACUGAAUACAUAGGUUAACGAGGCGAACCGGGGGAACUGAAACAUCUAAGUACCCCGAGGAAAAGAAAUCAACCGAGAUUCCCCCAGUAGCGGCGAGCGAACGGGGAGCAGCCCAGAGUCUGAAUCAGCUUGUGUGUUAGUGGAACGGUCUGGAAAGUCCGACGGUACAGGGUGAUAGUCCCGUACACCAAAAUGCACAGGUUGUGAACUCGAAGAGUAGGGCGGGACACGUGGUAUCCUGUCUGAAUAUGGGGGGACCAUCCUCCAAGGCUAAAUACUCCUGACUGACCGAUAGUGAACCAGUACCGUGAGGGAAAGGCGAAAAGAACCCCGGCGAGGGGAGUGAAAAAGAACCUGAAACCGUGUACGUACAAGCAGUGGGAGCACCUUCGGGUGUGACUGCGUACCUUUUGUAUAAUGGGUCAGCGACUUAUAUUCUGUAGCAAGGUUAACCGUAUAGGGGAGCCGCAGGGAAACCGAGUCUUAACUGGGCGUUAAGUUGCAGGGUAUAGACCCGAAACCCGGUGAUCUAGCCAUGGGCAGGUUGAAGGUUGGGUAACACUAACUGGAGGACCGAACCGACUAAUGUUGAAAAAUUAGCGGAUGACUUGUGGCUGGGGGUGAAAGGCCAAUCAAACCGGGAGAUAGCUGGUUCUCCCCGAAAGCUAUUUAGGUAGCGCCUCGUGAACUCAUCUUCGGGGGUAGAGCACUGUUUCGGCUAGGGGGUCAUCCCGACUUACCAACCCGAUGCAAACUACGAAUACCGAAGAAUGUUAUCACGGGAGACACACGGCGGGUGCUAACGUCCGUCGUGAAGAGGGAAACAACCCAGACCGCCAGCUAAGGUCCCAAAGUCAUGGUUAAGUGGGAAACGAUGUGGGAAGGCACAGACAGCCAGGAUGUUGGCUUAGAAGCAGCCAUCAUUUAAAGAAAGCGUAAUAGCUCACUGGUCGAGUCGGCCUGCGCGGAAGAUGUAACGGGGCUAAACCAUGCACCGAAGCUGCGGCAGCGACACUAUGUGUUGUUGGGUAGGGGAGCGUUCUGUAAGCCUGCGAAGGUGUGCUGUGAGGCAUGCUGGAGGUAUCAGAAGUGCGAAUGCUGACAUAAGUAACGAUAAAGCGGGUGAAAAGCCCGCUCGCCGGAAGACCAAGGGUUCCUGUCCAACGUUAAUCGGGGCAGGGUGAGUCGACCCCUAAGGCGAGGCCGAAAGGCGUAGUCGAUGGGAAACAGGUUAAUAUUCCUGUACUUGGUGUUACUGCGAAGGGGGACGGAGAAGGCUAUGUUAGCCGGGCGACGGUUGUCCCGGUUUAAGCAUGUAGGCUGGUUAUCCAGGCAAAUCCGGAUAAUCAAGGCUGAGGUGUGAUGACGAGGCACUACGGUGCUGAAGUAACAAAUGCCCUGCUUCCAGGAAAAGCCUCUAAGCAUCAGGUAACAUCAAAUCGUACCCCAAACCGACACAGGUGGUCAGGUAGAGAAUACCAAGGCGCUUGAGAGAACUCGGGUGAAGGAACUAGGCAAAAUGGUGCCGUAACUUCGGGAGAAGGCACGCUGGUGUGUAGGUGAAGUCCCUGCGGAUGGAGCUGAGACCAGUCGAAGAUACCAGCUGGCUGCAACUGUUUAUUAAAAACACAGCACUGUGCAAACACGAAAGUGGACGUAUACGGUGUGACGCCUGCCCGGUGCCGGAAGGUUAAUUGAUGGGGUUAUCCGUAAGGAGAAGCUCUUGAUCGAAGCCCCGGUAAACGGCGGCCGUAACUAUAACGGUCCUAAGGUAGCGAAAUUCCUUGUCGGGUAAGUUCCGACCUGCACGAAUGGCGUAAUGAUGGCCAGGCUGUCUCCACCCGAGACUCAGUGAAAUUGAACUCGCUGUGAAGAUGCAGUGUACCCGCGGCAAGACGGAAAGACCCCGUGAACCUUUACUAUAGCUUGACACUGAACAUUGAGCCUUGAUGUGUAGGAUAGGUGGGAGGCUUUGAAGCGUGGACGCCAGUCUGCGUGGAGCCAACCUUGAAAUACCACCCUUUAAUGUUUGAUGUUCUAACGUUGGCCCCUGACCGGGGUUGCGGACAGUGUCUGGUGGGUAGUUUGACUGGGGCGGUCUCCUCCCAAAGCGUAACGGAGGAGCACGAAGGUUAGCUAAUCCUGGUCGGACAUCAGGAGGUUAGUGCAAUGGCAUAAGCUAGCUUGACUGCGAGCGUGACGGCGCGAGCAGGUGCGAAAGCAGGUCAUAGUGAUCCGGUGGUUCUGAAUGGAAGGGCCAUCGCUCAACGGAUAAAAGGUACUCCGGGGAUAACAGGCUGAUACCGCCCAAGAGUUCAUAUCGACGGCGGUGUUUGGCACCUCGAUGUCGGCUCAUCACAUCCUGGGGCUGAAGUAGGUCCCAAGGGUAUGGCUGUUCGCCAUUUAAAGUGGUACGCGAGCUGGGUUUAGAACGUCGUGAGACAGUUCGGUCCCUAUCUGCCGUGGGCGCUGGAGAAUUGAGGGGGGCUGCUCCUAGUACGAGAGGACCGGAGUGGACGCAUCACUGGUGUUCGGGUUGUCAUGCCAAUGGCACUGCCCGGUAGCUAAAUGCGGAAGAGAUAAGUGCUGAAAGCAUCUAAGCACGAAACUUGCCCCGAGAUGAGUUCUCCCUGAGACUAUAAGUCUCCUGAAGGAACGUUAAAGACGAUGACGUUGAUAGGCCGGGUGUGUAAGCGCAGCGAUGCGUUGAGCUAACCGGUACUAAUGAACCGUGAGGCUUAACCUU